AGCGAACGCUGGCGGCAGGCCUAACACAUGCAAGUCGAACGAACUCUUCGGAGUUAGUGGCGGACGGGUGAGUAACACGUGGGAACGUGCCUUUUGGUUCGGAAUAACUCAGGGAAACUUGUGCUAAUACCGAAUGUGCCCUUCGGGGGAAAGAUUUAUCGCCAUUAGAGCGGCCCGCGUCUGAUUAGCUAGUUGGUGAGGUAACGGCUCACCAAGGCGACGAUCAGUAGCUGGUCUGAGAGGAUGACCAGCCACACUGGGACUGAGACACGGCCCAGACUCCUACGGGAGGCAGCAGUGGGGAAUCUUGCGCAAUGGGCGAAAGCCUGACGCAGCCAUGCCGCGUGAAUGAUGAAGGUCUUAGGAUUGUAAAAUUCUUUCACCGGGGACGAUAAGGACGGUACCCGGAGAAGAAGCCCCGGCUAACUUCGU
rnacentral:rRNA from 1 species